rnacentral:lncRNA from 1 species
UCAUCUGCAGUACCAUCAGCAAUGCUGAUAAAACUGAAUUUUCUAAAAAAAAGAGUAUUUCCAGCUUUCCAACCAAAUAUUAGAGACUUUUACAAAAGCACCCUCACAAAAUAAUGCUUUUAUAAUCAAUUUAAAAGUCUUUCAAAUCGUUAAUCAUUUUCUAAAGGCGAA